rnacentral:ncRNA from 1 species
UUCGUGGGGAGCUUGGGUAAUCCUAGCUGAGAGGGCGGUAGAUAAAUUCGCCGCCGACCCAUACACCUGAUCCGGAUAAUGCCGGCGUAGGAAGUAGC